GCCCGAGUGGGGUAGCUUGGAUAUCCUGAAAGCCUGCGGAGUUUUCGACCCGGGUUCGAAUCCCGGCUCGGGCA
rnacentral:tRNA from 3 species